AGACGGGGGGUGCUAGCGUUGUGCGGAAUUACUGGGCGUGAAGGGCGCGUAGGCGGCUCUGCGAGUCGGGCGUGAAAUCCCGGGGCUCAACCCCGGAACGGCGCUCGAUACUGCGGGGCUGGAGACCGGAAGAGGAGGGUGGAAUUCCCAGUGUAGAGGUGAAAUUCGUAGAUAUUGGGAGGAACACCGGUGGCGAAAGCGGCUCUCUGGUCCGGUUCUGACGCUGAGGCGCGAAAGCGUGGGGAGCAAACAGGAUUAGAUACCCCAGUAGUCC
rnacentral:rRNA from 1 species